GAGGAAAAACAGGCUCUGUUGCCCUAAAUCUCCUCUAUAAAAGAUCCCUUUUCCAAUCACUAGGGGAGGAAAAAAAAGAUAGAAAAACGGCAGAAAGCAUAGCAAAACAAAAAGAGAAAACACACUCAAAGAAUUUGUUUUUUUCAGAACUGGAAACUUUCUUCUUUAGUCUUUGAAGUUUUUGUUUUUCUGGGAUUGAGAAGAGAAAUGGAUUCUUGAAGCUGUGGUUUGGGUUUUCUUCUGCUGAGUUUAGUGUUUUCUUGGAUCAUAAGCUGUUGUGGAUUGAGAAUAUAAGCCGACUUCUGCUAUUUCUGUUUGUUAAUCUUGUUGAGCUCAUCCAGUAGUGGUUUUCUUAGCCUUGAUUUGGCAAGUUUAGGUAAUUGACUCAAGGACUAGUCAUUCCAGAUCUGGCCAUAAUGUAGUUUAAUUUGUAGUUUAGGACUUAAGUGAUUUUCUAUCUUUGGUAAAUGGUCUUGUAGAAUAUGCAUCCUCUGUAAAUUCCAAUGGGUAUAAGUUGAAGAAUUAGGAUUAUGAAGAUAUGUGCGAAGGACUGUUUUCUCAAUUGGAGUAUAAAUUUUGUUACAAUUCAAAUCCGGAGUCAAAGAUGUAUUCUGCAAUUCUCAUAUAGAUGUGUUCGAACUUAAGGAUGGCUGUAAUUUAUCUGAAAGCUGUUUGCAGAACUAUAUGAAUUUUGUUACUCUGAUCAUAUGUUAUCUUCAUUAAUGAUAUAAACAUGAUAAAAUUUCUUUGAUAAUCCCUUUCGCGACUCUGUUCUGUUAUUUGUUUUAGACCAUUAUAAUUGUUUGAUUUAAUGUUCAUUGGGCUCGGCAAGCAUGUAAAGUUUCCGUAUGAAGGCCUUUGUCCAUUUUAGUCUUUCUGUACAACUCUAGUUUUGGGCCUCUUUGAUGUGAGCCCAGAUGUGGGCCAAACACUAAUAUCUUGAAAGAGGAUAUGGACAUUCAGUUAAAAUGAUUGGGCUUUUAAGGUGUGAUCUUUCCACGUUGUUGGUUGUAUGAACAGUUUUAUUUUGUGAUUGAAAUUGUUUCUUGUAUA